AUCCUUCCAGCUGAAAAGUAAAAUAAGACAAACAGAGUUUUUCCUAUGAAUUCUGUACAAUUGGAUUGUAUAAUAAACAUGUAGCAAGUGCCUAGCAUAUGCAGAGUGAGAAGCAAUGAGUUUUAACAGAGAGAUAAAUAGCUUUCAUAAUAGGAAUAUGUGGAUUCUGGUCCUUCAUGACAAAUACUAGCUCUGUGAUUAGGAACAAAUCAUGUAAACUCCCCCCAGUCACCUGUUUAGAGUAUAAAUCACAUAUAAAAUUUCAAUCUUCAUCAGCAAAGCCAAGGAAGUUUUUAUAAUAGGUGCUCCUUAUAUGGAUGAAACCUCGGGUCUCAAAAAGCAAAAUAUGCAGGCAUUGUGCCACAUUCAAAGACUAUUAAGACAGGAUUAAGAAAGCCCUUAUCCUCAAAGGAAUUUAAUGAUUAAUGAGGUGACUCCAAAAUGCAUGAGUCAAGGAUGUACAGAACAUCUCCUUUUAAGCUUUGAGAACUUAAAAGUUUACUAAGAUUUUUGGAACAUCCUGCAUGGAGUAUUUAGAGAGUAAUAUAAAAUAUUUAGAGAGUAAUAUAAAAUAAUUCAGGGGGUGAAGAGAGAGAGAGGGUGGGGGCUGGGAGGAAAGGGGAAGGAGAGAGUUAACUGAAUAAAAAAGUCACAGAAAGAGCAUAAAGAAGAAAAAUAAUAUAAUAUAAGACUCUAAGGAUAGUUAAUAAGAACUUUAAUGCUGUGAAGGGUUUUAAGGACAGGCUGAGUUGCUAUUUCAUCCAAUAAGCAGAAUCUUUGAGUGAAGAGUAUAAUAUAUCUCAUAUAAACAAGAGUAAGGGAAUUGAGAAGAGGCAAACUGCAGCAAGAGGAGGAAAAAGAAAAAGAGAAGGAGGAAGAGGAGGAGGAGGAAAUAAGGAGGAGGAAAAGGAAAAGAAGAAGGGGAGGAGAAGGGAAGAAGCGAAGGAAAGAGUAGUAACUCAUUUUACAGAUGAAGAAAGUGAAGCAAACAAUGUUGUGACUUAUCCAGGAUCAUAUAUCUGCAAAUGAUUCUCACCACUGGAUUAAAGAGAGGCAUGCUUCAAAAGAAAUUCAAGAUAAGAAAAGUGCGAUCUUCUGGCUCCCACUUCAGUAUUCUUCAAUAUUGUACUCUUCAACACAAUGGUCUUCAAAAUAAAAAUACACAGCCUUCCUCAUAAUCACGGUUUAUCAAAUGCAGAGCAUAUUCCAAGCUUUAAUUUCCUUUCUGUUAGGCUAAUUCCUUCAACCACACAGAGAAAUCAUAAAUAGACUGUUCAGAAAGAAGGAAAGAAAGAAACCACUGAAAGAGUCUUGUUACCUUCUCAGCCAUGGCUUCUCCCUCAACUUUUCCUUCUCCUUCCACUCACUGUAAUCACCUGCCUGUCACCUCACUGAGUAUAAGUGAGUGGAUAACCCAGGGUGUCUAUUUUGCUUCUUUUUUCCUUUCUUUUUGGUGUUCAACAUUGCUAUUCAUUCUUCAUCAGAAUACAUAUAUAAUCUAUAAUUAGAUUCCUUUGACUUCAGAAUCCUAGAUUCUUUGAUACUGUAGUGAUUGAUUUUACUCCACUGAUGAAUGCCCAGAAUGGGUGAAACAUGCCCAGGAAUGUGCUGGUAAAUAUUUAACAAUUGUUUCUCUUGGGGGGAGGGGAGAAAUAUACUCAGAAAACAUUUUAAAAAUUAAUCUUCAUUAUUAUCAUUUUUCUUCAUCACUUUCUUUAGUCUAGACAAUCAUCAAGGCAAUAAAUUAAACCUUGAUUUGGAGUACUUGCUGGUUUACCAGGUGCAAAAACCCACACUGAAAAUUUAACAAUCAACUUUUUACUGUAGUCAGCUCCAAUACAACCAUAAGUAUGCCUUUCUGGGUAAAAGGGAGAUGCAAAAAAAAAAAAAAAAAAAGCAGACAGGAAAAAAGUAGGGAUAAAAAAUGUCAGAGAGCAGAUCAGAAAAAGAUUAUGAACUGGAAUAAAUAGACAACAUCACUAGACUCUCACUGGUCUAUUUCACAAAUGUCCUUCCUUUUGAUGUUAUUGAUAUACUCUAAUCAUGCUAAAAAUAAUUAGUCAGC